rnacentral:rRNA from 1 species
CUCUUGCCUACCCAUGGAUUCAGCAGUAGUUCGAAAGGUUGACCUAUUCGGGAAUCUCCGGAUCUACGCUUAUUUUCAACUCCCUGAAGCAUUUCGUCGCUUACUACGCCCUUCCUUG